GGAGAAGUUGUGGCUUAGUGGUAGAACCUCUCCCUGGCAUGCAGAAAUGCAGGUUUAAUCCCCGCCAUUUCCA
rnacentral:tRNA from 1 species